rnacentral:rRNA from 1 species
UACGGAGGGUGCAAGCGUUAUCCGGAAUCAUUGGGUUUAAAGGGUCCGCAGGCGGGCCUAUAAGUCAGUGGUGAAAUCCCAUCGCUUAACGAUGGAACUGCCAUUGAUACUGUAGGUCUUGAAUGUUUGUGAAGUAACUAGAAUAUGUAGUGUAGCGGUGAAAUGCUUAGAUAUUACAUGGAAUACCAAUUGCGAAGGCAGAUCACUAACUAUAUAUUGACGCUGAGGGACGAAAGCGUGGGGAGCGAACGGG